rnacentral:rRNA from 1 species
AUAGGUAUGCAAAGCGAACGCGGCGAACUGAAACAUCUAAGUAGCUGCAGGAAAAGAAAUCAACCGAGAUUCCCAAAGUAGUGGCGAGCGAAAUGGGAUGAGCCUGCACGUUUUAGCAUGACGCAUAACAGAAUCCUCUGGAAAUAGGAGCCAUAGCGGGUGAUAGCCCCGUAUGUGAAAUGCGAUGUGUGGAACUAAGCGUGCGACAAGUAGGGCGGGACACGAGAAAUCCUGUCUGAAUAUGGGGGGACCAUCCUCCAAGGCUAAAUACUCGUAAUCGACCGAUAGUGAACCAGUACCGUG